rnacentral:lncRNA from 10 species
AAAUCUUGGAGCCCUUUGCCCUAGAGCGAGAGAAAGAGAAAACAGACAGUUCUAAAUGCCAAAACAUUCAUCAGCUGUGAUUCCAGCCCAGAAUAUAAAAGGUGAUCCAGGCUGGCUCCCUGCAAAAUUCAAAGCAGUUCCACAAACACUUGUUGCUCUACGGACUUUACAUAUACUAGCUCAAUGGAUCAUCACAACUGUCCUAUGGGGUCUCAAGAGGAAGUGAUGUGCUACCCCCACCAAAGUCAACAACAGCAGCGUCCCCAUCUGGUUUCUAAUCACUGGGUCACAGCUAUUGGAUGCUCUUCAUCUAGAUCCGUAGGUAUUCAGAAACAGCUGCAGCAGCUGCAGAGGAGAAAAGAGCAGGUUUUUGAUUCUGGCAGAGCUCUACUGGUGACAUCAAAGAUAGUAAUUCCCUUAAAGUUUCAGUUCUGUAUUUUUCUGGAACUACGCUUGUGAAAUAGACCGUUAGACCUUCCA